UACAGAGGGUGCAAGCGUUGUUCGGAAUUAUUGGGCGUAAAGGGCGCGUAGGCGGUUUGUCGCGUCUGCCGUGAAAGUCCGGGGGCUCAACUCCGGAUCUGCGGUGGGUACGGGCAGACUAGAGUGUGGUAGGGGGAGACUGGAAUUCCUGGUGUAGCGGUGAAAUGCGCAGAUAUCAGGAGGAACACCGAUGGCGAAGGCAGAUCUCUGGGCCGUAACUGACGCUGAGGCGCGAAAGCGUGGGGAGCAAACAGG
rnacentral:rRNA from 1 species